ACUCAGAAAGCCUGGGGAUCUAUAUGCAGAAAAACUUUACAAUGGAAGAGAGAUUAUUUUAAAUUAAAAUGAUUAAUAAAUACUAGCUGGGAAGGUUUUAUUUUUUCUUGCUAUACACUUUUCAUUGACUGUGUUGCUGGCCUAAGAGUGAGGUCAGUGAAGCGCCAGCUGUACCACAGAUACCGUGUCUCAGACUUGGUUCCUUGUGAGCCCAAGGUAUCUAGGAGUCCUUCUGUUCUGUCCCUGAAGAAAUGAAGAGGGAGCUGAGACUGCCAUGUGGUCUGGAUAAGAUUCUACUCCUCCUUUCCUAACAUGCACAGUGUCACCACAACUACCACACCUGACUGCAUUUGGUCCUUGAGCCCAUUUGGCAUGAGUUACCACAAUUCCUUCACUCUCAGGUCAUCCCUCAGCUUUAGAAGCAUCCCCAUAAUGGUCUCUGUAGGCUGUGACAAUUCUUCCUCUGAUCUGCUUCCUCCCUAUCCCCCUCCCUGCUUCAUUGUUCUUCAUGACACUUAAAGCAUCUUCCACUUACGUAAUAUAUAUAUGCUAAUGUAAGCUCCAUGCA